AGGGCUUUAGGGUUUAGGCGGAAAAGGGAACAGGGUAAUCGGGGAUGUGCGGAGCUAGGGAACGAGGCGGAGGGGCUGCCUACAGGGCGAGCUGCCCCGACAGAUUGCUCGCUGACUGGAUAUACCGGGACCCAUCAGCGAUCACGACACCUUCGAUCUACGGUGGCGGUGAGGCAUCUCAGAGUGUUCGCCCGUCCAUGUCUCCAUUGGAAGUCCUCUUGGUCGUUGAUAUAUUCAGAACGAGAAUGAUGGUAUGAUUUACAUCGUACGGCUUCUUGCGACGUUCAUUCAGCAGAGAAAGUAAGUUGUCAUACUGACGAACUUAGUCCCCUUGGAAAAUUCCAGUAAAAUUUCCAUACAAUGUGAUCUGUGAAAGGGUACUUGUCAUACUGGAUUCAGUCCCGUUAGGAAAUCGCCAAACUGAUAUUACAAAUUAUUACUCUGAAAUUAUAAAUUACAUGCAAUGUGGGCUUUUGCAAGUGGCAAAUGGCAAGGGAUUUCGUCUUCAAUAGGACGACAGCACUGCGGCCCCGUCGAUGAGAACACAGCAGUUCGAGGUUUUGCCACCUUGUUUGCAGGGAGAUACGAAGCAUCACGUGAUUGGGACGCUGGCUGUGCUUCCUGCUGUGCAUCUGCCGCUGAUCUUCGCGGUUUUGUGAGUGGCGGAUGUUUUGGAGCUCCGAGAGCGUUGAUCUGCAUUCUUGUGAGGCUCAUUCGGAGUAGUGCGCAGACACAGCCGGUAUCUUUCGUCGACACAUAAGCGUAGGUAUUCCGUCUGGCGUCUUGAAAAAUGUUAUCGCCCGGUAUGUGACAGUUUGAUUCCGGGGAGAGGGUUGAGCUUUGAGAAAAGCGACUAGGAGGAGAGUUUAGAAGCGGAUGUGUUCUUUUCAUCGCCUGCUCACCUUCUGUAAUUCCUUAGCUGCUUUGCAGCAAGAGGAGCAGGGAGAGACUCGUCGGAGUGACAAGAGUCUGACCUUGUCUUCACAUCACGAAUUUGUCACAAGAGAGUGAAUGCCAAAAGAUUCAGCGUGCGAUUCGUUAGCCAUCGCUCUGUGCGCUGCGGGAGGUGGCAGGAAACUGAUAGGUCCUGGUUGAAGAGUCUGUUGAUCGUCUUUAUGGUCGAGGGAAAAUCAGAGCCUGUGUUUUUAAUCAUCACAGGGUCAGAUUCGGGCACUGGAUCAUUGAACUUUCUUGCACGACCUAGGAAGAGGGGAAUUGUAUAGACUGAUCAUAGCGUACUGCUGAAGUUAAAAUCCCUUGCCUGGGAGCGAUUGAGGUAGCAAUUCAGUAGCAAUGUCAUCUCCUUUUUGACAAAGAUCAAGUGUUCCAAGGCCACCACCAAUACGUCCUCAUGUGUUAGUGGCUAUCUCAAAACAGAAGAGAGUAAUCUUCCCCAAAAUCCAUUAGGUCACUUGUGAUACAUGUGUUACAAAAACCUUAAUAAAAAAAAGAGGAUAAAUUUGUAUCUUGCUGCAAUUGUAAUCACCAAUUGCCUUUGCAAUAAAGAGUGGUGUGUACAAUUUUGUA